UACAGAGGUCUCGAGCGUUGUUCGGAUUCAUUGGGCGUAAAGGGUGCGUAGGUGGCGCUGUAAGUCAGGUGUGAAAUUUCGGAGCUUAACUCCGAAACUGCAUUCGAUACUGCCGUGCUUGAGGACUGGAGAGGAGACUGGAAUUUACGGUGUAGCGGUGAAAUGCGUAGAUAUCGUAAGGAAGACCAGUGGCGAAGGCGGGUCUCUGGACAGUUCCUGACGCUGAGGCACGAAGGUCAGGGGAGCAAACGGG
rnacentral:rRNA from 1 species